rnacentral:rRNA from 1 species
AUUGAACGCUGGCGGCAUGCCUUACACAUGCAAGUCGAACGGCAGCACGGGAGCAAUCCUGGUGGCGAGUGGCGAACGGGUGAGUAAUAUAUCGGAACGUGCCCAGUCGUGGGGAUAACGUAGCGAAAGCUACGCUAAUACCGCAUACGAUCUAUGGAUGAAAGCGGGGGAUCGCAAGACCUCGCGCGAUUGGAGCGGCCGAUAUCAGAUUAGGUAGUUGGUGAGGUAAAGGCUCACCAAGCCGACGAUCUGUAGCUGGUCUGAGAGGACGACCAGCCACACUGGGACUGAGACACGGUCCAGACUCCUACGGGAGGCAGCAGUGGGGAAUUUUGGACAAUGGACGCAAGUCUGAUCCAGCCAUUCCGCGUGCAGGAUGAAGGCCCUCGGGUUGUAAACUGCUUUUGUACGGAACGAAAAGGUUUCUAUUAAUACUAGGAGNUCAUGACGGUACCGUAAGAAUAAGCACCGGCU